GAGGGAGGGAGAGGGAGGGAGGGAGGGAGAGUGGCUGCUCUUCCAGAGAUCCUGAGUUCAAUUUCUAACAACCACACACAUGGUGGCUCACAAACACCUGUUAUGGGAUGUAUGUGCAUCUUCUGGUGUGCAAGAAGACAGUUACAGUGUACUGUAAAAUGAAUAAAUAAACCUUUUAUUUUAAAAAGCCAGAGUCCAGUCAAUCUGCUUCUAGGGCUACAUCUUUGACCAGGGCAUUCUGCUUCGAUGAAGGCUUGUUGGACACUCCAGGACAAGUGGUCUUGGUCCUCUGGAGCUUCUGCUAUCUCCUGGUAGAGACAGAACUAGUUUCGUCAGAGUGGGAAAGUUCUAUGAAUUGUAGAAGUAACCCACUCUGGUAGAAUGUUGGCCAAGAGAAGGCAAAGAAAGCUUCCUCAAGUCGGAUAGAUUAGGGACAGAUUUACAUAAGAGUUGAAAAUCUCAUUUCCGGGGCUGGUGAGAUGGUUCAACAGGUAAGAGCACCCGACUGCUCUUCUGAAGGUCCUGAGUUCAAAUCCCGGCAACCACAUGGUGGCUCACAACCAUCCAUAACGAGAUCUGACUCCCUCUUCUGGUGUGUCUGAAGACAGCUACAGUGUACUUACAUAUAAUAAAAAAAAAAAAAUCUCAUUUCCAUAGGUACUAACUUAUCUUACUGUAAGAAAAGUGAGCUCUCAGCUGGUUGUGGUAGCUCAUACAUACCUGUAAUCCCAGCACUUGGGAGGCUGAAGGAGCUCAAGUCCAGCCAGGGGUACCUGGUGAGCAAGACCCAGUCUGGAAAACAGAUGGAAAUACCCCAAAAUCUUAUACUUCAUAGAUAAAAGGCAACAAAACAUGUUCUAUCAAAUUUGACACUGGUUUUAAAAUAUACACAUUGUUAUUAUGAAAUUAAAACUUUUUUUUUUUGGUGUUUUUGAGACAGGGUUUCUCUGUGUAGUCCUGGCUGUCCUGGAACUCACUUUGUAGACCAGGCUGGCCUCGAACUCAGAAAUCCACCUGCCUCUGCCUCCCGAGUGCUGGGAUUAAAGGCGUGUGCCACCACGCCCGGCUGUAAAACUUUUUUUAAACUACCAAUGUUAAAAAAAAAAAACAUUGGCCAGGUGGUGACAGCACAUGCCUCUAAUUGCAGCACUCAGGAGGCAGAGGCAGGCAGAAGUCCGAGUUUGAGGCUAGUCGGGUCUACAGAAUUUCAGGACAGCCAGGGCUAUAUAGAGAAACCCUGUCUUGAAAAUCCUAUAAGUAAGUAAGUAAGUAAGUAAAUUAAUUAAUUAAUUAAUAAGAAAAAUUAAAUAAACGAGCAUAUUUGUGGGGCCAGUGAGGGGCUUGAGUGGAAAACACACCAGCCAUCAAUCUGAGGAUCCAAGUUAGAUCUCCAGGCCCCGUAUAGUGGUAGGAAAGAACUGACUCCUGAAAUUCAUUCCCUGACCUCCAAUCAUGCAUUAUGGCGUGCGCACACACACACACACACACACACACACAGAGAGAGAGAGAGAGAGAGAGAGAGAAAUUUCUGUCAACCACAGUAUUGAGAAUUGAAUACUACUUUUAUUCCCUCUGUAGUAGAAGACAUUAUCAUCUCAUGCUUCGGUGGCAAAAUAGAAGCCAUCAGCUCCUAAGAAUUAUUACAGAGAGGGGCAUUGUAGCACUUCCCUUUUAAUUUUAGCAUUUGGGAAUUUGUCUAGAAAACCAAACCAACAAACCAAACCAACCAACCAAACAACUGUUACAGGGCCUUUACCUUCCCACUGGCUUCUAUGUGUUUGUUUGUUUUAAACUGUGUCUUCCUC
rnacentral:lncRNA from 1 species